rnacentral:lncRNA from 1 species
UCUUGUCAAAAGAGAUGCAUCAUCUAUGUUAAUGAGUGAAAUACUUUUAUUCAGUAAUUAUUUUAUGUCUUAUAUUUUAUUUCUCUUUUCAUAAUCAUAUGAUCUUUAUCUUUUUCUUUCUAGCUUUAGGCUAACCAGGAUCAUGCGAAGAUCUUUAUCGGAUCGACUUUUAUGAUCUUUCUCGGAUCAAAAUAUUCAUA